rnacentral:rRNA from 1 species
AUUGAACGCUGGCGGCAGGCCUAACACAUGCAAGUCGAGCGGAUGAAGGGAGCUUGCUCCUGGAUUCAGCGGCGGACGGGUGAGUAAUGCCUAGGAAUCUGCCUGGUAGUGGGGGAUAACGUCCGGAAACGGGCGCUAAUACCGCAUACGUCCUGAGGGAGAAAGUGGGGGAUCUUCGGACCUCACGCUAUCAGAUGAGCCUAGGUCGGAUUAGCUAGUUGGUGGGGUAAAGGCCUACCAAGGCGACGAUCCGUAACUGGUCUGAGAGGAUGAUCAGUCACACUGGAACUGGGACACGGUCCAGACUCCUACGGGAGGCAGCAGUGGGGAAUAUUGGACAAUGGGCGAAAGCCUGAUCCAGCCAUGCCGCGUGUGUGAAGAAGGUCUUCGGAUUGUAAAGCACUUUAAGUUGGGAGGAAGGGCAGUAAGUUAAUACCUUGCUGUUUUGACGCUACCAACAGAAUAAGCACCGGCUAACUUCGUG